rnacentral:rRNA from 1 species
GGCUCAGAACGAACGCUGGCGACGCGUCUUAAGCAUGCAAGUCGAACGGCAGCACGGGGCAACCUGGUGGCGAGUGGCGAACGGGUGAGUAACACGUAGGUGAACUGCCCUUGGGCUGGGGAUAGCCUGUGGAAACACAGGGUAAUACCGAAUGAGGUCACGGGACUUUGGUUUUGUGAUGAAAGGGGCUAAGGCCUCGCCUGAGGAUGUGCCUGCGGCUGAUUAGCUAGUUGGUGGGGUAAAGGCCUACCAAGGCGACGAUCAGUAGCCGGCCUGAGAGGGUGGACGGCCACACUGGGACUGAGAUACGGCCCAGACUCCUACGGGAGGCAGCAGCUAAGAAUCUUCCGCAAUGGACGAAAGUCUGACGGAGCGACGUCGCGUGGGUGAUGAAGGCGGAAACGUUGUAAAGCCCUUUUAUGGACGAGGAAUAAGGUGAGGAGGGAAUGCCUUGCUGAUGACGGUAGUCCAUGAAUAAGCCCCGGCUAAUUACGUGCCAGCAGCCGCGGUAACACGUAUGGGGCGAGCGUUGUUCGGAAUUAUUGGGCGUAAAGGGUAUGCAGGCGGCCAGGUAAGUCUGGUGUGUAAUCCCGCAGCUUAACUGCGGAGCCGCACUGGAAACUGUCUGGCUAGAGUACAGGAAGGGGAGUUGGAAUUCCAGGUGUAGGGGUGAAAUCUGUAGAUAUCUGGAAGAACAUCAGUGGCGAAGGCGAACUCCUGGCCAUGUACUGACGCUGAGAUACGAAAGCGUGGGGAGCAAACAGGAUUAGAUACCCUGGUAGUCCACGCUGUGAACGAUGUGCACUAGGUGUUGGGGUCUUCGAUCUCAGUGCCGUAGCUAACGCGUUAAGUGCACCGCCUGGGGAGUAUGCCCGCAAGGGUGAAACU